UCCUGGUUCGAUUCCUUCUCAUACGAGUCGUCAUCAUUGAUGUCCCACUCUGUUGAAUACAGACAUCUCAUUCAUUAAGUCACGUCGUCCAUCUGUGUGUGGGGGGCGUCUGGGGGGGAAGUUACCGAGAUCACUGAUGUUGACUGGUUGGAUUAUUUCUACAAAAAGAAAAAAAAAAACUAAACUCCAACCCAGAAAAUCAGACCUGCGAAUAAAGGGCUCCACCUGGUGACUAUAAACUGUCAGUGCAUGUUAUUAGCAGCUAAGACACGUACCUUUAAAAACUGUACUUAAAGUGAAUUGUCAUUGUGACACUGCCCACAACCAAAUGUGAACUGUGCUUCACCAAUGUCACCGGUGAGGUGGGGGGAUUCCUAAGUUUCCAAGGUUUGACAUUUAGAACGAAAACUAAAAAAAUAUUGACUUUUAUGAAAUCGUAAAUAAAUAUGACUACGUUUUCAAAUUUACAGCAUAAAGAGUGUUUCUGUCAUCAAUGUUGUUUGUUCUUCUUUUAAAGCCCACAUGUAGAACAACUUUUUAAAAACUCUUUUAUUUGAUGUUUUCAUCAACUCAUUUUUAGUCAAGAAAAAUCAGGGUUAUUAAGUCCUAACAAUAACAAUAAUCAGAAUAACAAUAACAACAUCAAUAAAUGUUUUAGAUGGACAAAAAAGAAACGUAUUACUUCAAAGAUUAUGUGCAGUUACAAACAGAUGUGAAAGGAGGAGGAGCACAUCAAUAAUAAAAGAAACUCAGGUGAACAUAGCCCCCCUCCAGACAGUUCUAGACCAAUGGUAUGUGGAGUAAAAAAAGGACUAAUAAAAUAUAAUAGUAAUGAUUACAGUAAACUCCACUCACUUGUUGUUUCUAAAAAAAAAAGUGUUUAUUUAUUUACUUUUCUUAAAAAAAUAAGUGAAAUCAGUCGGUGUGAAAAACAACUUACUUCCCUGUGAUGUCCUGACUGAGUUCCAGGAACCGAUGGUGACUUUUCUCUUUUCUUUUUCAACAAAACUGAACGUUGGCUCUACACAGGGGGCGA